rnacentral:rRNA from 1 species
UACGUAGGGUGCGAGCGUUGUCCGGAAUUAUUGGGCGUAAAGGGCUCGUAGGCGGUCUGUCGCGUCGGGAGUGAAAACUCAGGGCUUAACCCUGAGCCUGCUUCCGAUACGGGCAGACUAGAGUUCGGUAGGGGAGACUGGAAUUCCUGGUGUAGCGGUGAAAUGCGCAGAUAUCAGGAGGAACACCGGUGGCGAAGGCGGGUCUCUGGGCCGAUACUGACGCUGAGGAGCGAAAGCGUGGGGGAGCGAACAGG